GUGACCUGCGAGGGACAGAGGGAGGACAGCGGGGCUGAGAACCGGCGUCGGGAAAGCGCGAGACUCUCCAGACACACUGUACUUCCUUACCUGCUCUGCAGACAGCAGAAUUCUAAGAUAAGUAUGUCGGGGCCACAGACAGCAGCUGUUCCUCAGAUACACACCAGGGACGCAACGUCUGCAUCUGGAAUAAUGGGAUUUUCUGAUGAAUGAAAGGGUAAGAAGUACAAUUUCUCUCAGACUUGUGAUGUCAGGAAGAAAAUUUUGUUCUAAACUCACGUGUCUU